GGGCCACGGGGCGUCUCCGUAACUCCGUUGCGCCCUGGCUACCGGCGCCGGCGUGGAUCAGAUCCUUGAGGUUCUCUGCAGCACCUAUUUCUGCAAAAUUGCAAGUUCGCGUGGGCUGCGAGUUCCUCCUACGGCAGGCCUCUUUUGCAUGGCGAUGGGCAAAAUUUAGUUGUAUUAACAUGACGCAACUUUUCGUUGGUCCAGUCUGGAUCAAAGCAUACUUCUAAAAGAAGUUGGAUUCCGUGGGAAAGCUUUGAAGCCGAUAUCUCACCGGUUAUUGAUUGCACAACCACUGCCUGAUGGGCUUUAUUAAAGGAAGGACGGACCCAAGAGAAAUUGCUUCCUCCAGCAGCUACAGAGCACUAUUGAAAAUAUCGCCUUGGAGAAGCACCAUAUCGCAAAGAAUUCAUGAAAGGAGAACCCCGAAACGAAAAGGAUACAUCCAGCUAAUCCCAAACCCAGUCCAUCAGAACCGAUCAAGCACCAGCUAGAAAGAUUCCUAAACUAGUUCCUAAACCCCACCCCAAAGUCCUAAUCCGUAUCAUAUUAUUCCUCCGUUCCCCCCAGCUGCUCCUCCACCGAAUCCAGAUCAUCAUUAUCACUGCACUUUGUUCGAGCUAUCGUGUACUUUGCUUCCAGAGCCAGGAACCAGACCAACCACUUCUCGAGCCCUCCAGCUCACUGGUGUUCUUGCCAAGAGAGAGGUGGAGAAGAUCGAAGCUUUUUGCUGCCACUGUUCUUCGUUCUGCGCCAUGAGCAGCGCGCUGCUUCGGGUCUACCCUUCCGAGCUCAAGAUCCCCUAUGAGGUGAAGAAGCAGCGAUCUUGCUGCAUGCAGCUGACGAACAGGACCGAUCAGUUUGUGGCCUUCAAGGUGAAAACAACGAACCCGAGGAAGUACUCGGUCAGGCACAGCUGCGGCAUACUGCUUCCACGGGGCUCGUGCAAUGUAACAGUUACAAUGCAAGCACCUAUGGAGAUGCUAUCAGACCACCACUGCAAGGACAAGUUUCUCGUGCAAAGCGUUGUGGUGCAGGACAGAGCGACGAUGAAAGACUUUGGUCCUCAAUUGUUCACUAAAACACCAGGUAGGCUAAUUGAGGAGUUCAAGCUGCGAGUGGUGUAUAUUGCUGCUAAUCCUCCCUCACCAGUUCCAGAGGAAGAAGAGGAAGAGGAUUCAUCCCCUCGAUCAGAGGUGAUCAGCUCAUCUACAUUUGAUGUUGCACAUAGAUGUAUAGGUGCUUCUGCAGCAGAACCUUCUUGUGCUGAGGUAACUCUGCUCAGUAUAGCAUUACUUAUUACGGACUUACGAUACCAUGUCAUUUUCUCUUAUCUUUUUUGUUUGAGGAAUCAGUGCCAUGCCAUUGUCAGAUUGGAUUGUAAUGAAAAUGUGUAUAUCUGCUCAUUGUUUUGUCAAUUAAUCAAAUACUAUUCACUGUAUUGGAAUACAAAGAAUGAGAGAGAAUGCAAUACAGCUACCCAUUAGUUCACUACUUCACUCUCUUUUAUUUAUUUUGGCUGUACAGGGUACCUCUGUAAUAUCAGGGCUGGCUGGAGAGAGAGACUUCGCAGUAGAUAAAAAUCAGAAGGUUCAGCAAGAAAUGGAACUGCUUGGGGAGACAAGGUCAUCUCAACAGGGAUUCUCACUGAUGUUUGUAGUGUUUGUCUUCAUGUCUUCUAUGUUCAUUGGACACUUGAUGAACGAAAUCAAGGUCUAGCCAAAUAACAGUUGUAAAAGGGAAAGAAGGAUCUGCAUUUCUACCAACACUGUCAGAGACUCGAUGUCACGUUCUCCAUACAAAUUUUCUCUUAGUUUCACAUUGCAGCAUAGCUUCACUCCAUGUAACAUGACUAUUCUAGAAACAGAAAGGGUUGAUCAGGAACCUGUAGUUAAUUUGCGCAUUCAAAUGUAUGUUCUGAUUGUAGUUUUGCAUCAAUAGGUUUAUAGAGGUUUUCCUGACAAGGCUAGUUUGUAUACUAGUUUUAGAAGCUAAUAAAACAGUUUAUAUCUGUAGCCUC